rnacentral:lncRNA from 10 species
GGGCAUUGAUGCAGUAAUGCCCUUCUUCACGUUGAUGUGUUCUGUUUACCUCCCAGAGGCAAGGUUGUCAGUGAGCACAAAGGAUCAUCUAAUUGGACCUGGCAUGGAAAUUUGGAAUGCAGUCCUGCGAAGUUUAUCAUCUCCAUUUAUGUCCUGGAAAAGGGAAGAUUUCUUUUACAUCCUGACCUGGUUUCUGUACCACUUACUUAACAAAUAAGCAUUUAGAGAAUGUCUCUCAUAUAUGGUCUCUCAGUAAAUUCUCUAAGUAGUUCUGGGAAGUAGACAUUAUCUCCAUUUUUAAAACUUCUUAUUUGAGAUGUAAUUUACAUACCUAAAAUUCACCCAAUUAAAACAUGCAAGUCAGUGGUUUCUAGUGUCUUUAAAGAGUUGUGCAACCAUCACCACUAUCUAAUUUUAAAACAUUUUUAUCAUUUCAUACCCAUCAAAAGUCACUUCCCCUUGCUCACUCCCCCAACCCCUGGCAACCACUGAUCUAUUUUUUAAUCUCUAUGGAUUUGCCUAUGCUGGACAUUUCAUAUAAAUGGAAUUAUACAAUAUGCGGUCUUUUUUGUCUGGCUCCUUUCACUUUAGCAUAAUGUUUUUGAGGUUUGAGGUUUCCUUUUUAUGACUUCAUUCCUUUU